rnacentral:misc_RNA from 1 species
CUCUCUCUCUCUCUCUAAUAUUGAGUUAUUGACAAAAAUCUUGCUCAUAUUGGAGUGCCUUCCUGAAAGAAUUCCGCUUUGUUAUUACAAUAACUUAAACUCUCUCAUGAUAUAAAAAUCUAAUUUUGUUUUCUAACUAGUGGAAAACAAAAAUAAAACUAAGUUUGGUUGAGCAGUUUUUAUCACUAUAAAAUUCUUUUGCAUCUAUCUAAGUGUUUCCAAGGAAGUUUUACUUAGUUUCAUCUAUAUUUUAAAAUCUGAAGUGAUGUAGUAACUAUAAAAAUCUGAAGAUGGUACACUUUAAAUCACAAGUGAUUUGGUAACUAAAAUAUCACUAAAAUGCACCAUUUCAAAGUUAGAAAAGAAAACACAUUUCGUUUACCUUGAUUGUGAGGGCUGUAGAUUUGAUUGCCUACGCUAACUAAUGAUGGAUGAAAAAUGGGUCUGCUUUAAGUAUCUGAUGAUUGCUCCAGGCUUGGUUGGAACCAUGAAAUGGCUUGUUUUUCAAAAUUGUGUGGCUCAGGUUUUCUUUCCUUGUUUACUUUCUUCAGGCAGCAUAUAAGCAGGUACUUUUGGCUCGGCUUGGUUUCCAUAAACUACAUAAAAUUUUAGGAUUUUGAUUGGAAAUUUUGUGUUUCUGUUGGUGUCUAAAUUUGAAUCUGUUAUUCUGGUGGGGUUACUAGGAAAGCUUUUUAGGAUAUGAUAUUGUAAGGUUCAAACUAAGUAGCUCAUCACUGCUGUGUAAUUAAAUUGGUGAUUUAAAGUUGGGGGGAAAAAGGGUUCUGGAAUGUGUUGUUGAUAAUUGUAAUUUAACUUAAUUGAAUGAUUUCUUAAUCUCUUUCGGCUAUUUAAUUGAAAAAUAUUGGCUUUUAGGCAUAGAUAUACAGAGAGGAGGAACGGAGCUGUAGAUUCAAAAACUUCAUCAUGAUCAAACGGACACCAAGUAGAAACGCUAGAACCAGAGGCUUCAAGGUAAAGAAUGUUCUGCAGAUUUGUUUAUUGCUUGGUGUCUGUUUCUGGUUGAUCUACCAAGUCAAGCAUUCCCAUGAUAAGAAAAAGGA